GAGACCGGCGCACGGGUGCGUAACGCGUAUGCAAUCUACCUUUUACAGAGGGAUAGCCCAGAGAAAUUUGGAUUAAUACCUCAUAGUAUGUGAGAAUCGCAUGGUUUUCACAUUAAAGUUCCAACGGUAAAAGAUGAGCAUGCGUCCCAUUAGCUAGAUGGUAAGGUAACGGCUUACCAUGGCGACGAUGGGUAGGGGUCCUGAGAGGGAGAUCCCCCACACUGGUACUGAGACACGGACCAGACUCCUACGGGAGGCAGCAGUGAGGAAUAUUGGACAAUGGGCGCAAGCCUGAUCCAGCCAUGCCGCGUGCAGGAUGACGGUCCUAUGGAUUGUAAACUGCUUUUGUACAGGAAGAAACACUCCCUCGUGAGGGAGCUUGACGGUACUGUAAGAAUAAGGAUCGGCUAACUCCGUGCCAGCAGCCGCGGUAAUACGGAGGAUCCAAGCGUUAUCCGGAAUCAUUGGGUUUAAAGGGUCCGUAGGCGGUUUAAUAAGUCAGUGGUGAAAGCCCAUCGCUCAACGGUGGAACGGCCAUUGAUACUGUUAAACUUGAAUUAUUAGGAAGUAACUAGAAUAUGUAGUGUAGCGGUGAAAUGCUUAGAGAUUACAUGGAAUACCAAUUGCGAAGGCAGGUUACUACUAAUGGAUUGACGCUGAUGGACGAAAGCGUGGGUAGCGAACAGGAUUAGAUACCCUGGUAGUCCACGCCGUAAACGAUGGAUACUAGCUGUUG
rnacentral:rRNA from 1 species